rnacentral:rRNA from 1 species
AGUGAAUGCUGGCGGUAGGCCUAACACAUGCAAGUCGAACGGCAGCACAGUAAGAGCUUGCUCUUACGGGUGGCGAGUGGCGGACGGGUGAGGCAUACAUCGGAAUCUACUUUUUCGUGGGGGAUAACGUAGGGAAACUUACGCUCAUACCGCAUACGACCUACGGGUGAAAGCAGGGGAUCUUCGGACCUUGCGCGAUUGAAUGAGCCGAUGUCGGAUUAGCUAGUUGGCGGGGUAAAGGCCCACCAAGGCGACGAUCCGUAGCUGGUCUGAGAGGAUGAUCAGCCACACUAGAACUGAGACACGGUCCAGACUCCUACGGGAGGCAGCAGUGGGGAAUAUUGGACAAUGGGCGCAAGCCUGAUCCAGCCAUACCGCGUGGGUGAAGGAGGCCUUCGGGUUGUAAAGCCCUUUUGUUGGGAAAGAAAAGCAGCAGGUUAAUACCCCGCUGUUCUGACGGUACCCAAAGAAUAAGCACCGGCUAACUUCGUG